UAAAUUUAACACUCAACUAAAACUUAAUUUUUUUAUUAUGAUAAAAACGACUGUACAAGCCCAAAUUGCCUGGGCCCAAACAAAAAACAAAGCAGGCAAUUUUAGUUUUUUAAUAGCAGGCCUAAACUCGUCUAAGGCCCAACAAAUAAAUGGCCCAAUAACAAAACUAACCUAAGCCCAGCACAGACAUCAGCCCAAAACACAAAAAAACAAAAGAGGAAAACCCUAGCCGCAUCUGCCUCAGCGCCGCAACAGCACCCACGCCGCGCCCAACGCCCGAUCGCCACACGUUUCGGCCUCCACGCGCGCCAAACUCUCCACGAACACCUAAAAAACGGACUCAAGGAGUCCAAAGAGAAAAAAACAGCAAGCAAUAUUGUUUUUUUUCCCUCGAUUUAUUUUCUUUUCGGCCUAUAAAAGGCCCUUUUAAAUCUGUAAAAGGGACGAUUGAUGAAUGGAGAAAAUACGCAAGAAAUAGAAAAAAGCAUUGAAUACAGAUUGUUUUUGAUUCAAGGUGAAAUUUUUUCGUUUUAUUAUUCUUUUUAUUUCAUUUGUUUUGAUUUUUUUUUAAAAAAAGUAACAAAGGAAAGAAAACUUACCUGAGUUGGGGUCGGAAUCGAGGCCGGAUCGCCUGAGAGGCGGCGCAAGGACGCUAGGGUUCCAAACCCUAGCAGAGCAAAAAGAGAGGCAUCAGUUUUUUUUUACUGUUUUUAUGAU
rnacentral:lncRNA from 1 species